AAACGCUCGUAGUUGGAAAGAAUAAGUUUAUUUUUUCUUUUUUUGUCUUAAAAAAAAAAAUAAUUUAUUUUAAUAGAAUUCAAAAAAAUGGAAAUUUUUUUUUUGUAAUAAAAUUACUUUUGAAUAAAUUAGAGUGCUUUAAGCAAAUUAUUUUUUUAUCAACAAAAAAAAUAAAAUGUUUGAAUAAUUUAGCAUAGAAUAAUUGAAUAAGAUUUGAAAGAUAAAUAUUUUGGUAAUUAUAAUUUAAAUAAUGAUAAAUAGGAAUAGUUGGGGGUAUUUGUAUUGAAUAGUCAGAGGUGAAAUUCAAGGGAUUUUGUUCAAGACAAACAUCAGCGAAAGCAUUUACCAAAGAUAUUUCCAUUAAUCAAGAACGAAAGUUAGGGGAUCGAAGAUGAUCAGAUACCGUCGUAGUCCUAACCAUAAACAAUACCAACCAAAGAUAAGAGGUUGAAACAAGAGAUAUAAAAAUUUGUUUUUUUUUAUAUCAAGAAAACUCCUUUUUGAAUUUUUGAGGGAAAACCAUUGAGUAUUUGGGGUU
rnacentral:rRNA from 1 species